CAUGACAAAAAAAAUCUACUUUAAAAUCCAUGAAUUGAAAAAUCGAUUGGAAAUUUUCCUCGCGUCCGAUUUCCGGCCAUCGGCGAAAUGAGUUAGAUCCUAUGUGGCGAAAGUCAUUCCAGGUGUUAAGUUUAAUGAAUGACAUGGACGCCAUAUAAGAUUUUAAAAACUAAAAAAAAUAAAAAAAAUUAAAUGCCACAUAAUACUCUUUUACUCUCCUUGUUUAAGACGUCGUCUUCUCUUCAAUUUCCGGCAACCUCCGCCACCAUCACUCUCGUAUCUUAGUUCCCUCUAUCUCCAUAUGAUUUCUCUCUCAUCAUCUAUCUCUCCACACUAACAAAACCCCUAAAUUCUAAAAAUCCCUAAAAUCCUAACCUCCUUCAAUUUCUG
rnacentral:lncRNA from 1 species